GGGCGAUUAGCUCAGCUGGGAGAGCAUCUGCCUUACAAGCAGAGGGUCGGCGGUUCGAGCCCGUCAUCGCCCACCA
rnacentral:tRNA from 1 species